GAUGAACGCUGGCGGCGUGCCUAAUACAUGCAAGUCGAGCGAACAGACGAGGAGCUUGCUCCUUUGACGUUAGCGGCGGACGGGUGAGUAACACGUGGGUAACCUACCUAUAAGACUGGGAUAACUUCGGGAAACCGGAGCUAAUACCGGAUAAUAUUUCGAACCGCAUGGUUCGAUAGUGAAAGAUGGCUUUGCUAUCACUUAUAGAUGGACCUGCGCCGUAUUAGCUAGUUGGUAAGGUAACGGCUUACCAAGGCAACGAUACGUAGCCGACCUGAGAGGGUGAUCGGCCACACUGGAACUGAGACACGGUCCAGACUCCUACGGGAGGCAGCAGUAGGGAAUCUUCCGCAAUGGGCGAAAGCCUGACGGAGCAACGCCGCGUGAGUGAUGAAGGUCUUCGGAUCGUAAAACUCUGUUAUUAGGGAAGAAUAAACGUGUAAGUAACUGUGCACGUCUUGACGGUACCUAAUCAGAAAGCCACGGCUAACUACGUG
rnacentral:rRNA from 1 species